UACGUGAGGGGCGAACGUUGUUCGGUGUCACUGGGCUUAAAGGGUGUGUAGGUGGUUGCGUAAGUAACGUGUGAAAUCCCUCGGCUUACCCGGGGAAUUGCGCGUUAUACUGCGUGGCUUGAGGAUUUCAGGGGAAUGGGGAACUCCAGGUGUAGCGGUGAAAUGCGCAGAUAUCUGGGGGAAGGCCGGCGGCGAAGGCGCCAUUCUGGGAAAUUCCUGACACUGAGGCACGAAAGCGUGGGGAGCAAACAGG
rnacentral:rRNA from 1 species